rnacentral:rRNA from 1 species
AACGAACGCUGGCGGCAGGCUUAACACAUGCAAGUCGAGCGCCCCGCAAGGGGAGCGGCAGACGGGUGAGUAACGCGUGGGAAUCUACCCUUUUCUACGGAAUAACGCAGGGAAACUUGUGCUAAUACCGUAUAAGCCCUUCGGGGGAAAGAUUUAUCGGGAAAGGAUGAGCCCGCGUUGGAUUAGCUAGUUGGUGGGGUAAAGGCCUACCAAGGCGACGAUCCAUAGCUGGUCUGAGAGGAUGAUCAGCCACAUUGGGACUGAGACACGGCCCAAACUCCUACGGGAGGCAGCAGUGGGGAAUAUUGGACAAUGGGCGCAAGCCUGAUCCAGCCAUGCCGCGUGAGUGAUGAAGGCCCUAGGGUUGUAAAGCUCUUUCACCGGUGAAGAUAAUGACGGUAACCGGAGAAGAAGCCCCGGCUAACUUCGUGCCAGCAGCCGCAGUAAUAC